UCUCGGUUAUUCAUCGUCCAGUCAGUCGUCGCCUUGAUAUUCACGCGAAUACAACCUGCCGGUAGUGUCCGGAGUGGAGUGUCCUUGUUGCCCCCAUCGCAGAGGCAAAUUAGCAUUGAUUGAUAAACACACAUCACAUUAUUGUGCUACAUUCCCCAAACGAGUUUGUGUGAAAAGUUUAUUUCCGCAAAUUUAAACAAAAUCAAUCGUUUGCCACGAUGUGCAAGUGUAUCGCAGGAAGUGUCGUUUGUUGCUGCUGCCAAUGUGCGAUGAGCGUCUUCAUCUCGCUGCUGUUUGUGGGAAUCCUACUGGCGGCUGCGAUCGCUGCCGGCAUCUACUUCGGAGUGGUCAACGUGGAUGACAGCGCACCGGAACUGUCCGAGUACAUCCACAAGACCGGCGACUCAAUCAAAGAUGCCGUCAAGGACAAGCUCAACUAAACGAGUGGCUUGGGUUAAGCAGUAUUCAAGUGCCGGCCACAAUAUUAGAAUCUCAUGGAUUAAUCGUUACAUUUAAAAUUACGCCAUCGUCUUGCACAUGCUUCGUACUAUACAAUGAUUUGGAAAUUUUAUCAUAUACAUGACCUAAAAUGUGCGGAUUUUGCUAACAAAGCAUCAUUACUACCGAAAAAACAAAACAAAACCAUAAAAUCAACGCCUAAUGUGAUUUUUUUUAGCGAACGUUUAUAAAGUACAAUGCAAACAAUCGAUACAUCACAACCGGACCAACGAAACUAAAAGGUUUUAUUCUUUCUCGAAACAACGUACCUACGAUGGUUCACCGGUAUCUGAAUCUUUCAUACAUGUAAGUCUAGGAAUAGUUUGCCAAUGUUUUUCAAUGCGAUGUAAAUAAACGACUAUUUAUUGCUAUGUAUUCUUAAUGUAGAACAAA